UAGAUACCCUGGUAGUCCACGCCGUAAACGAUGGGUACUAGGUGUUGGAGGUAUCGACCCCUUCAGUGCCGGAGCAAACGCAAUAAGUACCCCGCCUGGGGAGUACGGCCGCAAGGCUGAAACUCAAAGGAAUUGACGGGGGCCCGCACAAGCGGUGGAGCAUGUGGUUUAAUUCGACGCAACGCGAAGAACCUUACCAGGGCUUGACAUCCUCUGGCGUCUAUAGAGAUAUAGACUUCUCAUUUGAGAC
rnacentral:rRNA from 1 species